AUGAGGAUGGUGAUGAGGGUCAUGGUGCUGGUUGUUUCUGCUGGCUCCACUGACAGUAUAAAAUGUAAUUUAUUUAUACUGAAAAGUAGCAUUUUAGCCAAAAACUGGCUGCUGACAGUGCAGGAGGUUUUUGUACGGCCUCUUAAUGACUUUGUAUCACUGUGGUGGACUUUUGGUGGAGGAACCAAACUCACCGUUGACUUGGGUGUGGUGCGGCCCACCCUGACCGUCCUCCCCCCCUCCAAAGAGGAGGAGGAGCAGCAGAGCAGCGUCACACUGGUGUGUCUGGCCAGCGAAGGCUCCCCCUCAACCUGGAGGCUGGGCUGGAAGGUGGGGGGCAGCAGCAGGUCCUCAGGGGUGUCUAACAGCCUGGAGGUCCUGGGGAGGGACGGCCUCUACAGCUGGAGCAGCACCCUGAGCCUCCCUGCAGACCAGUGGAGGAAGGCGGGCUCAGUGAGCUGUGAGGCCAAUCAGAGUGGACAGAGUCCUGUCACUCAAAGCCUGGACCCUGCCCGCUGCUCAGAGUAGAGCCUCAGCUUCAUGUCUGCAAGUCAGGAUGCUCUCAGAGUUUAUUCAGCAAGAUUACUUUUCAUGUUCACACUGAUUUCUAAAACUCAUCUUACUCAUGUUCUGUGAUAAAAGUAGAAGUGAAGGAUUGUUUCAAUAAAAGUACAGAUAUAUGAUAA